rnacentral:rRNA from 2 species
UACGAAGGGGGCUAGCGUUGCUCGGAAUCACUGGGCGUAAAGGGUGCGUAGGCGGGUUUCUAAGUCAGAGGUGAAAUCCUGGAGCUCAACUCCAGAACUGCCUUUGAUACUGGAAGUCUUGAGUAUGGGAGAGGUGAGUGGAACUGCGAGUGUAGAGGUGAAAUUCGUAGAUAUUCGCAAGAACACCAGUGGCGAAGGCGGCUCACUGGCCCAUUACUGACGCUGAGGCACGAAAGCGUGGGGAGCAAACAGG